rfam:Puccinia graminis f. sp. tritici CRL 75-36-700-3 supercont2.6 genomic scaffold, whole genome shotgun sequence.
GGCGACAUGGCCGAGUGGUCUAAGGCGCCGUCUUAAGGAGGUAGCUGGGACGUCCACAAGCAUCCUGGCCGUAAUCCGGCGGUCUUCGGGCGUGGGUUCGAAUCCCACUGUCGUCA